rnacentral:misc_RNA from 1 species
GCUUAUACAACGAAAGUGAAUGAGAAGAUUGAUAUCUAUAGCUUUGGGGUGGUGCUAUUGGAGCUAGUGACAGGAAGACAACCAAAUUUUGGGGAUGAGCAUACAAGCCUGGCAGAAUGGGCAUGGAAGCAACACGGAGAAGGGAACACUGCCAUCGAUAAUAUGUUAGAUACGGAUAUCAAAGAAACAUGCUACUUGGAAGAAAUGAAGACAGUGUUCAGACUCGGGCUUAUAUGCACGAGCAACUUACCUGCGAGCAGGCCUUCCAUGAAAGAGAUUCUGCAGAUACUUCAUCGAUGCAAGUCCUUUAGGUAUUCUGGAGGAAAAUCACCAGAUACAGAGUAUGAUGUUGCUCCUCUCCUUAGCGGGAACAACAGCGAAAAAUACAUUGCUAGUUACAAACGUAUUAAUUCCAAUAAGGUAAUAGAUGAUAGUAGUGAUGAUGGUCUAAUAAUUUCCAGUGUGUAAUAUUACAGAUGCCAAAGUAAUCUGAUCAUAGAAA